rnacentral:rRNA from 1 species
UGCAUGUCUAAGCACAUGCCGUAUUAAGGCGAAACCGCGAAUGGCUCAUUAAAUCAGUUAUGGUUCCUUGGAUCGUACCUUACUACUUGGAUAACUGUGGCAAUUCUAGAGCUAAUACAUGCAGCAGAGCUCCGACCUUCGGGGACGAGCGCUUUUAUUAGACCAAAACCGAUCGGACCUAGCGUCCGCAUCUUGUGGUGACUCUGUAUAACCUUGGGCUGAUCGCACGGGCUUGUCCCGGCGACGUAUCCUUCAAGUGUCUGCCUUAUCAACUUUCGAUGGUAGGUUACGCGCCUACCAUGGUCGUAACGGGUGACGGGGAAUCAGGGUUCGAUUCCGGAGAGGGAGCCUGAGAAACGGCUACCACAUCCAAGGAAGGCAGCAGGCGCGCAAAUUACCCACUCCCAGAACGGGGAGGUAGUGACGAAAAAUAACAAUACGGGACUCUUUUGAGACCCCGUAAUUGGAAUGAGGACACUGUAAAUCCUUGUCCCAGGAUCCAUUGGAGGGCAAGUCUGGUGCCAGCAGCUGCGGUAAUUCCAGCUCCAAUAGCGUAUAUUAAAGUUGUUGCGGUUAAAAAGCUCGUAGUUGGAUCUCAGUUCCAGACGGGUGGUCCGCCUAACGGUGGUUACCGCCUGUUCUGAACAGCCAGCCGGUUUCUCUUGAUGAUCUUCACCGGUUGUCUUGGGUGACCGGCAAGUUUACUUUGAAAAAAUUAGAGUGCUCAAAGCAGGCGUGACGCCUGAAUAAUGGUGCAUGGAAUAAUGGAAUAGGAUCUCGGUUCUAUUUUGUUGGUUUUCGGAACACGAGAUAAUGAUUAAGAGGGACAGACGGGGGCAUUCGUAUUGCGACGCUAGAGGUGAAA